CUCUUCGGAGGCGUUACACAGGUGCUGCAUGGCCGUCGUCAGCUCGCGUCGUGAGAUGUUUGGUUAAGUCCAGCAACGAGCGCAACCCCUGUUGCCAGUUACCAGCACGUGAAGGUGGGGACUCUGGCGAGACUGCCCAGAUCAACUGGGAGGAAGGUGGGGACGACGUCAGGUCAGUAUGGCCCUUAUGCCCAGGGCUGCACACGUACUACAAUGCCCAGUACAGAGGGGGCCGAAGCCGCGAGGCGGAGGAAAUCCUAAAAACUGGGCCCAGUUCGGACUGUAGGCUGCAACCCGCCUACACGAAGCCGGAAUCGCUAGUAAUGGCGCAUCAGCUACGGCGCCGUGAAUACGUUCCCGGGUCUUGUACACACCGCCCGUCACAUCAUGGAAGCCAGUCGCACCCGAAGUAUCUGAAGCCAACCGCAAGGAGGCAGGGUCCUAAGGUGAGACUGGUAACUGGGAUGAAGUCGUAACAAGGUAGCCGUAGGGGAACCUGCGGC
rnacentral:rRNA from 1 species